rnacentral:rRNA from 1 species
CUUAAUAGCGGAGGAGGAGGAUCAUUA